rnacentral:sRNA from 1 species
AAACCUGGGUCCCCUCGCGCCUGCCAUGUAUCCGAGGCUCUUGGCAUCUGCAGCCACAGCCCCUACAAGCCAAGGUAACAUUUGUCGAUCACCCAUUGCAGAAGCAGUUUUCAGGAAACUUGUAACCGAUCAAAACAUCUCAGAGAAUUGGAGGGUAGACAGCGCGGCAACUUCCGGGUAUGAGAUAGGGAACCCCCCUGACUACCGAGGGCAGAGCUGCAUGAAGAGGCACGGCAUUCCCAUGAGCCACGUUGCCCGGCAGAUUACCAAAGAAGAUUUUGCCACAUUUGAUUAUAUACUAUGUAUGGAUGAAAGCAAUCUGAGAGAUUUGAAUAGAAAAAGUAAUCAAGUUAAAACCUGCAAAGCUAAAAUUGAACUACUUGGGAGCUAUGAUCCACAAAAACAACUUAUUAUUGAAGAUCCCUAUUAUGGGAAUGACUCUGACUUUGAGACGGUGUACCAGCAGUGUGUCAGGUGCUGCAGAGCGUUCUUGGAGAAGGCCCACUGAGGCAGGUUCGUGCCCUGCUGCGGCCAGCCUGACUAGACCCCACCCUGAGGUCCUGCAUUUCUCAG